rnacentral:lncRNA from 1 species
GUUCUCCUUUAGUUCCAAUUUCUCAGGAACGCACACUCAGGUCAGAUUUUCAGCAGGUUAGGAGCUUAGUUAGCAAAGGUUACCAGCUCUGAGUUAAAUCCUGAAGCCAUGUGUUAUCAGCAGCCAGUAACUGACAUUGCUACCUUGGUUUCUCCUCUUCUUGUGGAUUUACUAAAGCAAUGACUCUGGAAAUGUGAUUGAUUUUAAUUGUUGGAAUUAAAAAAUAGUGUUUUCAUAUCAGACAUCAUGAUUUUCUAACCAUUGAUGAUUCUUAUGUAUCAUGGACACCUUUUUUGAAACUGUUUGUUGCUAAUACCCACCAAUUUGAUAACAAUAUUGUUUUCACCUAU